GCCCAGUUAGCUCAGUCAGUUGAGCGUGGUGCUGAUAACACCAAGGUCGUGGGUAUGAUUCCCAUUUGGUCC
rnacentral:tRNA from 1 species